UGGGGAAUAUUGGACAAUGGGCGAAAGCCUGAUCCAGCCAUGCCGCGUGUGUGAAGAAGGUCUUCGGAUUGUAAAGCACUUUAAGUUGGGAGGAAGGGCAGUUACCUAAUACGUAUCUGUUUUGACGUUACCGACAGAAUAAGCACCGGCUAACUCUGUGCCAGCAGCCGCGGGUAAUACAGAGGGUGCAAGCGUUAAUCGGAAUUACUGGGCGUAAAGCGCGCGUAGGUGGUUUGUUAAGUUGGAUGUGAAAUCCCCGGGCUCAACCUGGGAACUGCAUCCAAAACUGGCAAGCUAGAGUACGGUAGAGGGUGGUGGAAUUUCCUGUGUAGCGGUGAAAUGCGUAGAUAUAGGAAGGAACACCAGUGGCGAAGGCGACCACCUGGACUGAUACUGACACUGAGGUGCGAAAGCGUGGGGAGCAAACAGGAUUAGAUACCCAGGUAG
rnacentral:rRNA from 1 species